UUCAUGCGUCUAGAAAAACUGCCAACGAUAAGUUGGAGGAAGGUGAGGAUGACGUCAAGUCAGCAUGCCCCUUACACUCUGGGCGACACACGUGCUACAAUGGUUAAGACAAUGAGAUGCUAGCUCGCAAGAGUACGCCAACCUCAAAAACUUAGCCUUAGUUCGGAUUAUAGACUGCAACUCGUCUAUAUGAAGUCGGAAUCGCUAGUAAUCGCCGGUCAGCCAUACGGCGGUGAAUACGUUCUCGGGCCUUGUACACACCGCCCGUCACGUUAUGAAAGCUGGUUAUACCCAAAGUCAUUAAAUUAACCAAUUAAUUGGAGAAAAGUGCCUAAGGUAGAACGAGUGAUUGGAACGAAGUCGUAACAAGGUAACCGUACUGGAAGGUGCGGUUGGAUCACCUCCUUA
rnacentral:rRNA from 1 species